rnacentral:lncRNA from 1 species
AUCUUUUUUCCAAGUUUUUUUUUUUUUUUUUUAAUGCAGUGAAGGGUGUUCAUUACAUUUUAUUUUAGUAAGCAGCAUGGGAUAGGCUCUUUGUACACAUUUGUAUUGGUCAGCCUUUCUGUUGCUGGGACAAAAGAUCUGAUACACACAAUUUAAAUGAGGAGAAGCUUGUUUUGGUCUCAGAGUUACUGAGGUUUCAGUCAAUGGUCAGCUGGUUCCAAUGUAAAAGCAUGGUAGAAAGGCCUGGUGGAGCAAAGUUUUUCAUACCACAGUCACCCAGUAAGAAAGCACAGGGGAAAGUACAUAGUCCCUAUGAUCAUGUCUCCAUAAUGCACCAAGACACAACCAGAAGUGUGCUUUACUAAUCUGCGAGGCAUUUUUAAUCCAGUCAUGAUUAAUGGUCACAAAAUUCAUGGUCUAUGUGCAUAUACACAAUGUGAUCUAAAAAUUGCCAUCAAUCUUCCCUAAAACAUUUCCCUUUACUUUGAACACAUUUAUCCCAUUGUUUUUGCCACAUUCUAAAGCAGUUCUGGAAGUCCACUUUACCAAAUAUCAUUGUGAAAUACUAUCAAAAAUACAGUGAAGGCUGCAACCAGAUGCAAUCUAAUGGAAAGGCCAAAUUACAGUGUAUUCCCUUCUACCUUAGUCACUGAAUUUUGCACGCUGAUACUUCUGGCCUUUCCACAAUGUUAUAAUGACCCGGAAAGGUAAUGUUUUGAAUCAAUAAAGCAAAAAUGAAAACAUAACUAAAGAUACUAAUGAAAAAGAAUUUUCAGAACUGCUUAAGAAAGUGGCAAGAGUGAUGGAGUGUGUUCAAACCAAAGGUUUUAAGGGGGAUUCAUGACAGUGUGUCUUUUAUAGUAACAAAAAUUUUUAUAAAUAAAAACACUGUAUAUUUACAUACAUAAUGGGCCAGGGAUUUAGCUCAGUGGUUCCGGUGCCUGCCUUGCAAGCACAAGGUCCCAAGUUCGAUCCCCAGUUCCAAAGAAAAAAAAAAUAAAUAUAAAUGAUGUUUCUUAAAAUGAAUUACUUAUCAAAACAAUAUUAUCAACUGCUAAUGUGUCAGCUUUAUGUUUUUACCUUUUCUUAUCCUUUAAGAUUUGUUAAGAAUCAUUUUAUUCUGUUUAAUACAGAAAUUGCAUUUGCCGUACACAACUUAGAGAACAAAUAUCCAAAAAACCAACCCGAGGGGCCUACGUAAACAGUGUUUAUUUGCCUUUUCAGAAGAAUGGUGAGAUCUAUAUUGCUCAAAAAAUCAAAAUGAAUAAC